GAUGAACGCUGGCGGCGUGCCUAAUACAUGCAAGUCGAGCGAAUGGAUUAAGAGCUUGCUCUUAUGAAGUUAGCGGCGGACGGGUGAGUAACACGUGGGUAACCUGCCCAUAAGACUGGGAUAACUCCGGGAAACCGGGGCUAAUACCGGAUAACAUUUUGAACCGCAUGGUUCGAAAUUGAAAGGCGGCUUCGGCUGUCACUCAUGGAUGGACCCGCGUCGCAUUAGCUAGUUGGUGAGGUACAGGCUACCCAAGGCAACGAUGCGUAGCCGACCUGGGAGGGUGAUCGGCCACACUGGGACUGAGACACGGCCCAGACUCCUACGGGAGGCAGCAGUAGGGAAUCUUCCGCAAUGGACGAAAGUCUGACGGAGCAACGCCGCGUGAGUGAUGAAGGCUUUCGGGUCGUAAAACUCUGUUGUUAGGGAAGAACAAGUGCUAGUUGAAUAAGCUGGCACCUUGACGGUACCUAACCAGAAAGCCACGGCUAACUACGUGCCAGCCGCCGCCGUAA
rnacentral:rRNA from 1 species